rnacentral:rRNA from 1 species
GAUGCACGGGGUCCCUGGGUGCGUGAGGAUGUACGCGUAUCCCUGCAUGACACUGUCGGAAGGGAAGGGCCACAUAUGCUGCGUGGAGCCGGUGUCAUGGUUGUCGACGAAGGUCACCGCCUUGGCUGGCCACCACCCGAUCAUGCCCGGCGCCUUGCCGUCGGUGCCGCGCAGCCGCCACAGCUCGCCCUCCACGGCGACGUUGAGGAUGCCCUUGGUGGUGAAGUCGAACGUGGUGCCCGUGCCGGAGCCGCCCACCUUGUUCACCCAGUUCACCAGCUCCUGCCGGUGCGGGUCCUGGUUGAGGUUGGGCUUCCCAUCCCCGCCGUACGCGAGCGACGUCCAUAUCUCGGCCACGGCGAAGCUGGCCUCGGAGCGGUCGAUGUAGAUCUUGGCCACGUCGGCGGAGUAGCCCUUGGCGAAGUCGAAGCGCCAGCCGUCGAAGCCGACGUCGGUCCUGAGCCAGUUGAGCCACUCGACGAGCUCCUUCUGCACGCGCGGGUUGAGAUGGUCGAUGUCCGGCGCGGCCCCGAAGUCGGCGCCGGUGUCCGGGUUGCCGGUGCCGUCGGCGUAGGGCCGGUCGUCGCGGCAGAUCAUGUGGGGGCCCCAGUCGAGGCGCGCGUCGGGGGUGCCGCCCUCGAAGAUGCAGUAGAUGCCCCGGCCGUCCUUGCGCUCCGCCGUGCGGUGGUUGAUGACGAUGUCGGCGAUGGCCUUGACGCCCUUGCCGUGGAGCGCCCCGAUGAGGGACUUGAGCUGCGCCUUGUUGCCGUACUUGGAGGCGUCCAGGUCGUAGAGCCGGCCAGGCAUGUACCCUUGCUUGGAGACGGACUGCGACGCCGGGGGCAGCCAGACGUGCGUGACGCCGGCCGCGGCGAUGUCGUCCACCUUGCCCAUCAGGAAGUUGUACCAUCCGCCAUUGUGCUUCCACGACUCCCAGUUGAAACCCUG